GACCUGACUGCUAUCGGAUUGAUACUAAGCCAUGCGAGUCUUUGCAGUAAUGCAAGGCAUACGGCUCAGUAACACGUAGUCAACUUACCCUAUGGACGAGGAUAAUCUCGGGAAACUGAGCAUAAUACUCGAUAGAUCAUAAUGCCUGGAAUGGUUUAUGGUUGAAACGAUUCGUCGCCAUAGGAUAGGACCGCGGCCUAUCAGCUUGUUGGUGAGGUAAUGGCCCACCAAGGCGAUUACAGGUACGGGCUCUGAGAGGAGAAGCCCGGAGAUGGGUACUGAGACAAGGACCCAGGCCCUAUGGGGCGCAGCAGGCGAGAAAACUUUGCAAUGUGCGAAAGCACGACAAGGUUAAUCCGAGUGAUUUCUGCUAAAGAAAUCUUUUGCAAGUCAUAAAACCACUAGUGAAUAAGGGGUGGGCAAGUUCUGGUGUCAGCCGCCGCGGUAAAACCAGCACCUCAAGUGGUCAGGAGGAUUAUUGGGCCUAAAGCAUCCGUAGCCGGCUCUGUAAGUUUUCGGUUAAAUCCAUGUGCUCAACGCAUGGGCUGUCGAAAAUACUGCAUAGCUAGGGAGUGGGAGAAGGUAGACGGUACUCGGUAGGAAGGGGGUAAAAUCCUUUGAUCUAUCGAUGACCACCUGUGGCGAAGGCGGUCUACCAGAACACGUUCGACGGUGAGGGAUGAAAGCUGGGGGAGCAAACCGGAUUAGAUACCCGGGUAGUCCCAGCUGUAAACGAUGCAGACUCGAUGAUGCAUUGGCAUAUAGCCAGUGCAGUGUCGCAGGGAAGCCGUUAAGUCUGCCGCCUGGGAAGUACGUACGCAAGUAUGAAACUUAAAGGAAUUGGCGGGGGGAGCACCACAAGGGGUGAAGCCUGCGGUUCAAUUGGAUUCAACGC
rnacentral:rRNA from 1 species